UACGUAGGGAGCGAGCGUUGUUCGGAAUUACUGGGCGUAAAGGGCGCGUAGGCGGCCUUCUAAGUCAGACGUGAAAUCCCCCGGCUUAACCUGGGAACUGCGUCUGAUACUGGGAGGCUUGAGUAUGGGAGAGGGAUGUAGAAUUCCAGGUGUAGCGGUGAAAUGCGUAGAUAUCUGGAGGAAUACCGGUGGCGAAGGCGGCAUCCUGGACCAUAACUGACGCUGAGGCGCGAAAGCUAGGGGAGCAAACGGG
rnacentral:rRNA from 1 species